GAAAGAGACUACUGACAAAGAGUCUCUUUCAAUUGUCGUCGGGCUCCUCUUCCCAAAAAGGACUUGACUUUUGGAAUUCCAUGUCCUUUUUUUUGCAUGACCCAGUUUUAGCAGCACUUCCUCCAAGUGGAUUUACUGAUGUAUCUAGUCUUCUUCAUUUCCCACAUCCUCCAGGUAAUGUCUGAUCACCCUGACCUGCCUGCAGCAAGAAUCCUAUUAGCCUUGUCUCUCCAGCCUCCUGCUUCCUGUCUCCCUCAAGGUGUGUUGCACUCAGGCAUGCUGAUAUUAUUUACCACAAAUACAGAAGCACAAAUUAGAUGGUCACUCGGGAUUUCCUCUUUUUGCCUUUUGGAGCCCAUGAAGUGAAGGGUUUGCCUGGCUGGUCCCCAAGGCUCCUUCAAAUUCUGAUGUUCUAUGAUAUUACAAGUCUUUGAGUGAUCACUCACGAUGCCAAAAAGAAGUCACCAAGGAAACCUCAGGUAUUCUGUUAAUUAUUUUGGUAAAAAUCAAUAGAGAGAAAUAAAAGAGCCAGAACUGAACUCAUAAAAAGAAAGAAGAAGAAUGAAUGUGGAGUAGGGGUCGGGGAAAGAAGAAUGGUUAACAGGGACAAGAAAUAAAUAAUGCCAAUCCCUAUGAAAAGUCUGGAACAAAUGAUUAAAUA